UCGGGAAUAUUGGACAAUGGGGGAAACCCUGAUCCAGCAAUGCCGCGUGAGUGUUAAGGCCUUCGGGUUGUAAAGCUCUUUUGGCGGGGACGAUGAUGACGGUACCCGCAGAAUAAGCUCCGGCUAACUUCGUGCCAGCAGCCGCGGUAAUACGAAGGGAGCAAGCGUUGUUCGGAUUUACUGGGCGUAAAGAGUGCGUAGGCGGUUUGGUAAGUUGGAUGUGAAAGCCCCGAGCUCAACUUGGGAACUGCAUUCAAAACUGCCAGGCUCGAGUGUGGAAGAGGAUGGCGGAAUUCCCGGUGUAGAGGUGAAAUUCGUAGAUAUCGGGAAGAACACCUGUGGCGAAGGCGGCCAUCUGGUCCAUAACUGACGCUGAGGCACGAAAGCGUGGGGAGCAAAC
rnacentral:rRNA from 1 species